rnacentral:rRNA from 1 species
GUCGAGCGAACGGACGAGAAGCUUGCUUCUCUGAUGUUAGCGGCGGACGGGUGAGUAACACGUGGAUAACCUACCUAUAAGACUGGGAUAACUUCGGGAAACCGGAGCUAAUACCGGAUAAUAUUUUGAACCGCAUGGUUCAAAAGUGAAAGACGGUCUUGCUGUCACUUAUAGAUGGAUCCGCGCUGCAUUAGCUAGUUGGUAAGGUAACGGCUUACCAAGGCAACGAUGCAUAGCCGACCUGAGAGGGUGAUCGGCCACACUGGAACUGAGACACGGUCCAGACUCCUACGGGAGGCAGCAGUAGGGAAUCUUCCGCAAUGGGCGAAAGCCUGACGGAGCAACGCCGCGUGAGUGAUGAAGGUCUUCGGAUCGUAAAACUCUGUUAUUAGGGAAGAACAUAUGUGUAAGUAACUGUGCACAUCUUGACGGUACCUAAUCAGAAAGCCACGGCUAACUACGUGCCAGCAGCCGCGGUAAUACGUAGGUGGCAAGCGUUAUCCGGAAUUAUUGGGCGUAAAGCGCGCGUAGGCGGUUUUUUAAGUCUGAUGUGAAAGCCCACGGCUCAACCGUGGAGGGUCAUUGGAAACUGGAAAACUUGAGUGCAGAAGAGGAAAGUGGAAUUCCAUGUGUAGCGGUGAAAUGCGCA